rnacentral:rRNA from 1 species
GACGAACGCUGGCGGCGUGCUUAACACAUGCAAGUCGAACGGAAAGGCCCUGCUUGCAGGGUACUCGAGUGGCGAACGGGUGAGUAACACGUGGGUGAUCUGCCCUGCACUUCGGGAUAAGCCUGGGAAACUGGGUCUAAUUCCGGAUAGGAGCCAUUUUUAGUGUGAUGGUUGGAAAGUUUUUUCGGUGUAGGAUGAGCUCGCGGCCUAUCAGCUUGUUGGUGGGGUAAUGGCCUACCAAGGCGGCGACGGGUAGCCGGCCUGAGAGGGUGGACGGCCACAUUGGGACUGAGAGACGGCCCAGACACCUACGGGAGGCAGCAGUGGGGAAUAUUGCACAAUGGGCGCAAGCCUGAUGCAGCGACGCCGCGUGGGGGAUGACGGCCUUCGGGUUGUAAACUCCUUUCGCUAGGGACGAAGCUUUUUGUGACGGUACCUAGAUAAGAAGCACCGGCUAACUACGUG